UACAGAGGGGGCAAGCGUUGUCCGGACUUACUGGGCGUAAAGCGCGCGCAGGCGGUCACGGGCGUCGGUGCUGAAAGUGCGCCGCUUAACGGCGCAAUGCGUGCCGAUACGCCGUGACUGGAGCGCGGGCGAGGGUGGUGGAAUUGCCGGUGUAGUGGUGAAAUGCGUAGAUAUCGGCAGGAACACCUGUGGCGAAGGCGGCCACCUAGCCCGCUGCUGACGCUGAAGCGCGACAGCGUGGGGAGCGAACUGG
rnacentral:rRNA from 1 species